UACGAAGGGGGCUAGCGUUGCUCGGAACCACUGGGCGUAAAGCGCACGUAGGCGGAUCCUUAAGUCGGGGGUGAAAUCCUGGAGCUCAACUCCAGAACUGCCUUCGAUACUGAGGAUCUCGAGUCCGGGAGAGGUGAGUGGAACUGCGAGUGUAGAGGUGAAAUUCGUAGAUAUUCGCAAGAACACCAGUGGCGAAGGCGGCUCACUGGCCCGGUACUGACGCUGAGGUGCGAAAGCGUGGGGAGCAAACAGG
rnacentral:rRNA from 1 species